rnacentral:rRNA from 1 species
AGUGAACGCUGGCGGUAGGCCUAACACAUGCAAGUCGAACGGCAGCACAGUAAGAGCUUGCUCUUACGGGUGGCGAGUGGCGGACGGGUGAGGAAUACAUCGGAAUCUACUUUUUCGUGGGGGAUAACGUAGGGAAACUUACGCUAAUACCGCAUACGACCUACGGGUGAAAGCAGGGGAUCUUCGGACCUUGCGCGAUUGAAUGAGCCGAUGUCGGAUUAGCUAGUUGGCGGGGUAAAGGCCCACCAAGGCGACGAUCCGUAGCUGGUCUGAGAGGAUGAUCAGCCACACUGGAACUGAGACACGGUCCAGACUCCUACGGGAGGCAGCAGUGGGGAAUAUUGGACAAUGGGCGCAAGCCUGAUCCAGCCAUACCGCGUGGGAGAAGAAGGCCUUCGGGUUGUAAAGCCCUUUUGUUGGGAAAGAAAAGCAGCAGGUUAAUACCCCGCUGUUCUGACGGUACCCAAAGAAUAAGCACCGGCUAACUUCGUG